CGGGGGGGAGGGGCGGCGAGGCGAGGCCUGCGGAGCGGAGGAAGACAAACAUAAAGAUGAAGUGCUUAAUUCAAGGUCACACAAUGUCGGGGAUGGACCUCCAGAUUUCCUUACUGGUGAGACGUGGUCUUGUAACACAGUGGUUAAGAAUGUGACUUUGGAGCCAGCCUGCUAGGGGCUGAAUUCUGACUCAGCCAUUUACUAACUGUGUGACCUUAGGGAGGAGGACCUGGUUGAUAGAAGAAUUUAUCUCGUAGUCUUAACAUCCACUGUAAUUCCAAACUUUGAGGACGAUAGAGAUCAGUGGGCUUUGACUGCCCAGCAUGCAGUCUCCAUUCUUAGGUGGGUUCCCAAGCCUGUAAAAUGUAAGCCUUAUGCUGCUGAGGGCCAUCUUGCCACCCUGAGGGAAACGCUGCCUGAGAAUGAAACAAGCAUAAGUAAAAGCUGAGCUGUGAGAUGGAGCAAGAUGAAGGCCACAUGACAUCUUUGGAGCACCUGGAUCUAACUGUGCCUUAAGCUAGUCUAACCCUGAACAUUUCAUCAUUUCAUUGACAUGAGCCCAGGUUUUCUUUUUUUUUGGAUGGAGUCUUGCUCUGUCGCCCAGGCUGGAGUGCAGUAGCUCAAUCUCGGCUCACUGCAAGCUCCACCUCCCGGGUUCACGCCAUUCUCCUGCCUUAGCCUCCCAAGUAGCUGGGACAACAGGCGCCCACCACCACUCCCAGCUAAUUUUUUGUAUUUUUAGUAGAGACGGGGUUUUACCAUGUUAGCCGGGAUGGUCUUGAUCUCCUGACCUCAUGAUCCGCCCGCCUCGGCCUCCCAAAGUGCUGGGAUUACAGGUGUGAGCCACUGCACCCAGCCCUCAGGUUUUCCCUUUUUUUACCCCUCCUUUUGAAAAUUUGAUGUGGAAUUUUGCCACCUGCAGCCAGAAGAGUUUUAACUAAUCAGUGCCAUAAAUUUUAUAUAGUUCUCCUUGCAAAAUGUGGAUCAGCCUUUCUCAGCAAAUCCUUUGUCAUAAAGUGCUGAAUUGUAAGUUUGUCAUGAGAAUCACAUGAGAUCAUGCAUGUGAAGAACCUGGCAUUAUCCUCCUCAUAGAAAAAAACCAGUAAAUAUUAACUACAGGAAGCAAGGAAGGAGUGGGGUGAGGGGAAGAAGAAGGGGUACUGAUUUAAAAGAACCCUGGAGUCCUAAGGAUAAUCUAGGAACCCUCAGACCCAAUCCGAUACCCCUAUUCUAAAUGCUCCUAGUGCCCUGUACCUUCCCCUCAUAAGCCUUCAUUAUCAUUGUAAUGAUAUGUUUAUGUAAUAUUUUGAUUAAUGUCUCUCCUUCACUGACCUAGCAGUUCUAGCAGGGCAGUGAUUUUGCUGUGUUGCAUCCCCAGCACCUAGUCUGGUAUGUGGCAUUCAGCAUAUGUUUAUUGAAUGAAUGGCCAUGUGGUUAUUCAGAUCCUCCUUGAUUAUUGGGGUUAGGAUUGUGGCAGAAGUGGCAAAAUCAGGGAGAGUAGUCCCUGUCCCCUCUGUAUCUUAUACACUGCCCACACUCCCAACACACAUACACAUACAGAGAAUUUUGUCUCAAUUAGAUAAUUAACUUCUGCUUGGUUGUAAACCAAACCACUGGUUCUUAAACUUUCAUUGGAUCAUUUUAUUGAAGAAUUAAAUAGUGUGGUUCUGGCCUAAUGUCUGGAAAGCCUUGCAGAGGAGUGGAUUAGGUCUUUGUGAUAAACAGGCAGCCUUCCCUGCUCCUGUGUCUUUAUAAAAUCUAUUUAACUGGAGUAGUCCACCCUCCCUCAGGCUCUUACAGGAAUAUGUUGGAGGCUGUAGGAAGGUGGGAAACCGAGAGGGAAAGGACUGGGCCGCUGGAGACUUCACUCAUUCCCUAGCAAGAAACAAAAGCAGUAAAAGGUGGCCCGAGGACAACCUGAAGCUCACUCCUUCAGCACUUUUGGCUGGAGGUCACUUGUUGGAGCCCCACUCAGAGCUCAGCACACCACCCCACCAGCAGCCUCCUCCUCCCAGCUGAGGCUGCAUUUCAUCCCUUCCCCCAGCCUGCUUUCCCUGAGAUAGGGGAGUGUUUCCCAGGGCCCAUGUGACUUCCACUGGCAAGUGACGAUUACCAAUGGUUUACUAGUCAGUGAAACUACCAAAGGCUUUUGUGCUGUAGUAAUCCUUUUCCUGUUUAAAACUCUGGGGAUUUUCUAAUGUUGCCAAUAGUUUUUCAAGUCAGCAAUUACUGUGUGGAUUAUGUAAUGGCUCGGUAUUAAAAAUAGAAAAGACUGGA
rnacentral:lncRNA from 1 species